CACACCGCCCGUCACAUCACGAAAGUGGUUUGUACUAGAAGUCGUCAUUCGAACCGCAAGGGCGAUAGCGCCCAAGGUGUGAACCAUGAUUGGGGUG
rnacentral:rRNA from 1 species